GUCCACGCUGUAAACGAUGUCUGCUAGCCGUUGGGAUCCUUGAGGUCUCGGUGGCGCAGCUAACGCGAUAAGCAGACCGCCUGGGGAGUACGGCCGCAAGGUUAAAACUCAAAUGAAUUGACGGGGGCCCGCACAAGCGGUGGAGCAUGUGGUUUAAUUCGAUGCAACGCGAAGAACCUUACCAGGUCUUGACAUCCAGAGAACUGUCCAGAGAUGGAUGGGUGCCUUCGGGAACUCUGAGACAGGUGCUGCAUGGCUGUCGU
rnacentral:rRNA from 1 species